AUUGAACGCUAGCGGGAUGCUUUACACAUGCAAGUCGAACGAGAGGCGGAAGGGAUAGUAAUAUAUCGGCACGUGCGCAGUAGCUGGGGAUCACUAAUCGAAGGAGAUGCUAAUACCGCAUAGUAUUGGAGCGGACGAUAUCGGAUUAGCUAGUUGGUGGGGUAAAUGCUCACAAAGGCAACGAUCCGUAGCUGGUUUGAGAGGACGAUCAGCCACACUGGGACGGAGACACGGCCCAGACUCCUACGGGAGGCAGCAGUGGGGAAUUUUGGACAAUGGGGGAAAGCCUGAUCCAGCCAUCCCGCGUGUAUGAGAAGGCCUUCGGGUUGUAAAGUACUUUUGGCAGAGAAGCGGUAUCUGCAGAAUAAGCACCGGCUAACUUCGUGCCAGCCGCCGCGGUAAUUC
rnacentral:rRNA from 1 species